UCCAAAAGCUCAGUCCAAGAGAAACCUUAGAACGUGAGGCUGGGUUGAUGAUUUCCUUCGACAUCUCCACUUCUAAGUGGAUCGUCUAUCUCCUAGAUCCGUCGUUUCCUCUUCUUCAAUAGAUCGUUGAUCUCCUAGCUUCGUCGUUUCCACUUCUUCAACGGAUCGUCGAUCAAUCGACACACUACUCCAUCUCUGUUCAAUGAAUCCUCCGAAAAUCUCAUUUAUUGCUUCCUUUUGCCUUCAUCCCUCUAUGUUUCUUUAUAUCUCUAUUAUUCUUCUCAGAUUUAUUACACACAAAAAUAUUCUCUCCAUCGAUGAAUUCCAACAGCAAAUCCCAUGUUUCCGGCAAUCUUAUUUCGAAGAAACCAAACGGAAAGGACAAGUGGUGACGAUUAUCAGUUCGAUUAGCUGAAAAUUCACGAGCAUAAAAAUUUUUUACAAGCAGACAACAAAGAAAGGGAUCUCCAAGUCAAAGCCUUCUUCGCGGAAAGCCCCUCCCAAACACGCGGCCACCCAAGUUUCUGAUGCUACGCAGCGGGAGAUGUUGAUUUCGCACGACUCCCUCGAUGUCAACGGUCAUCGCCGUCUUGCUUGCGUGGCUGACCAACGUCGCCGCGAAGCUAUCCAUGGUUGGUUCCAGUUUCGAUCGGAAGCAUUUGAAAAGCUAAUAAAAGUUUACCACAUUCACAGUUUCAAAUACAAUUCUCUCUGAUAUUUUCAUCCCCAUGACCUUUGCUUGAUUUCUCUUUAUUUGCUUCUCCGGUAACAAUAAAAGGUAAAGGGGCGAGAAGAAGGCGCAUACGACAUACCACCAUUCUCUCUACUAUAGGAGAAGCACGCGCAAGAGCCUGGCAAGUGGCAACUCCACCAGUAGCAGUAUUUUGCUUUUCUCGGCUUAUAUCUUUUUUUUCUUCUUUUUUAUAAAUAUGUGUUUCGUUAUGUAUAGAUUCAAAUGUCGUUGGUCAGAUUUUUUUUCAAUUCAGAGGGAAGAUUUGGUAUGUUUUUCUUUCUGAGGAUUUUGUAGAUCGGACAAGGGAUACAUUAGUGUGUUCGGUGCACGAGAGCCUGAGACAGGAAGAAUACUGGCUUUGAAGAAGGCUAGGUUUGACAAUUUUGAGGCAGAUAGUGUUAGGUCCAUCAAAAUACAGAUUGUGAUACUUAGGAGACUUAAUCAAUGUUUUCUCUUAAAUCAAAAGCUAAUUGUAGGACUUAGCAUUUGGGUAUUUCGAGCAUAUAUAAAGGUAUAGGUCUUAAGAAAGAAUGGGCAAGUUAAAUGUUUUAUGAGUCAUAGUAUUCUAGCAUGAAUAAGGGGUUCGAAGAGAUUCAUGCAAGAUGUAAAUGCUUGUGUGCUAAACUAAAAGUAGAAGCAUUAGCACGUGCCAGGAAAGAGUUUGUGCAUACAAGUAACGGGGUUGUUCUUUGCAGAAGUCUAAUAAAGUGGAGAAAGAUCAUGAAAAGAGCUACAUUUGGUGGCUGAUGGUCAAAAGGGUUUUGUAAAUUUGGUAUCAUUUUGGUUGGGGAAAAGAAACAUGAGGCAAUGUAAGUUUAUAUUAUGUUAUGAACUCCAAAGUUAUUGAAUGUUAUUCUUACACCCAACAACUUCAAAAGCACAAGAGAAGUGAAUAAGUGAUGUACUACUAUGAAAACCUUCUGUAAUUGUAACUC